UACGUAGGGUGCGAGCGUUGUCCGGAAUUACUGGGCGUAAAGAGCUCGUAGGUGGUUUGUCGCGUCGUCUGUGAAAUUCCGGGGCUUAACCUCGGGCGUGCAGGCGAUACGGGCAAUACUUGAGUGCUGUAGGGGAGACUUGAAUUCCUGGUGUAGCGGUGAAAUGCGCAGAUAUCAGGAGGAACACCGAUGGCGAAGGCAGGUCUCUGGGCAGUAACUGACGCUGAGGAGCGAAAGCAUGGGUAGCGAACAGGAUUAGA
rnacentral:rRNA from 1 species